AUGAACCUUCGGUGGGGAUWASUGGCSAACGGGUGAGUAACACGUGSGYAAUCUGCCCUUCAYUCUGGGACAARCCCUGGAAACGGGGUCUAAUACCGGAUACCACUACCGCAGGCAUCUGUGGUGGUUGAAAGCUCCGGCGGUGAAGGAUGASCCCGCGGCCUAUCASCUUGUUGGUGAGGUAAUGGCUCACCAAGGCGACRACGGGUAKCCGGCCUGARAGGGCGACCGGCCACACUGGGACUGARACACGGCCCASACUCCUACGGGAGGCAGCAGUGGGGAAUAUUGCACAAUGGGCGAAAGCCUGAUGCMGCGACGCCGCGUGAGGGAWGACGGCCUUCGGGUUGUAAACCUCUUUCAKCAGGGAAGAAGCGAAAGUGACKGUACCUGCAGAAGAAGCKCCGGUUAUCUACKUGCCAGCARCCGCGGUAAUACRUAKGGCGCAAGCGUUUGUCCGGAAUUA
rnacentral:rRNA from 1 species